rnacentral:lncRNA from 1 species
GAGACAAUGGAUCUUAAACAUGGCAGUCUUUUCCUAAAACUGCCAGAUAGUGCUUCCAGCAAAGAUUAUCUCAUCUCUGCAAACUCCAACCUAGUGAUUAUCACAUCAGGUGCAUGCCAGGAAAAAGGUGAAACACUUUAAUUUAGUCAGUCUAAAUGUGGCCAUCGUUAAAUUAAUGAUGUCUAAUAUUACUCAAUAUAGUCCUGCUGCAAAUUGAUAGUUUCCAGUCCAGUGGAUAUCUUAAUUUAUGUAGCUUAGAAAUUGAGUACAUUUUUCAAAACCCAUAUUAUUGGAAAUGGCUGUAAUCUGGACACUGCCCAUUUCCAUUUCUUGACUGUGCAAGUGCUUGGAAUCCACUCUGGAAGCUGCCAUGGGUGGAUCUUUGGAGAGCAUGGGGACUCAAGUGUUCCUGUGUGGAGUGGAGUGAACAUUGCUGGUGUCCCUCUGAAGGAUCUAAACUCAGAUAAAGGAAUUGAUCAAGAUCUAGAGCAAGGGGGAAAAUGUCCACAAAGAAGUGAUUGCCAGUGCUUAUGAAAUUAUGAAAAUGAAAGGUUAUACUUCUUGGGCCAUUGGCCCAUCUGUAACAGAUUGAACAGAAAGCAUUUUAGAGAAUCCUAGGAGAGCGCAUUCAGUUUCCACAUAAUUAAGGGCCUCUAUGGAAUGAAUGAUGUAUUCUUCAGUGUUCCUCGUAUC